rnacentral:rRNA from 1 species
AGAGUUUGAUCCUGGCCAAGGAUGAACAAGGUAGGCGUGAACUAGGUAUGCAAGUUUGACUAUGGCCCUUUGUAACAAUACAGAGGUUUCUUAGGGGCUAAAGUUUGAUUAUGGCGUUGUUGAACUGCCGUAAAGGGUGAAUUAACGGUUCCUAAGGUCUGUUCAUACCAUAUGGGGUCGUAGUGUUUAGAACUGGAUGACUUUUUACAAAAUGCGCUUUGGGAGGGACCUGCGUCCCAUCAGCUGGUUGGUGAGGUAACGGCUCACCAAGGCUACGACGGGUAGGGGACCUGAGAGGGUGGUCCCCCACACUGGCACUGAAACACGGGCCAGACACCUACGGGUGGCAGCAGUAGGGAAUAUUGGGCAAUGGGCGAAAGCCUGACCCAGCAACGCCGCGUGCACGAUGAAGGUCUUCGGAUCGUAAAGUGCUUUUCUGAGAGAUGAGAAAGGACAGUAUCUCAGGAAUAAGUCUCGGCUAACUACGUGCCAGCAGCCGCGGUAAAACGUAGGAGGCAAGCGUUAUCCGGAUUUACUGGGCGUAAAGCGUGUGCAGGUGGUUUGGUAAGUUGGAUGUGAAAGCUCCCGGCUCAACUGGGAGAGGUCGUUCAAUACUACCAGACUUGAGAGCAGUAGAGGGAGGUGGAAUUCCCGGUGUAGUGGUGAAAUGCGUAGAUAUCGGGAGGAACACCAGUGGCGAAAGCGGCCUCCUGGACUGUUUCUGACACUCAGACACGAAAGCUAGGGUAGCAAACGGGAUUAGAGACCCCGGUAGUCCUAGCUGUAAACGAUGUGAACUUGGCGUCCGGCGGGGUUCAAAGCCCGUCGGUGCCGAAGCUAA